GGGUGGUGGUAGAGGUGCUCUACAAGAUAGAGGAAGAGGUGGUGGUGGUGGUGGUGGUGGUGGUGGUGGUAUGGGUGGGGGUGGUGAGGUGUUAGACAUUGAAGGAGGUGUUGGUGGUGGUAGAGGUUCUUCUCUUGAUGAAGGAAGAGGUGGUGGUGGUGGAGGUUGCAUUUUACUUGUUGAAGGAAGAGGUGGAAGUCGUGCUCCACUCGAAUGAGGAAGAGGUGGAGGCGGUGGAGCUUUAAAAAAAGAAGGGGGUGAUGGAGCUUUAAAAAAAGAAGGGGGUGGUGGAGGAGAUGGUGGUAGGGCUCUAUAUACAACAGGAGGAGCAGGAGGCAAUGGUGGUGGAGGUGGAGGUUGAGAUUUACUUAAAGGUGGUGGUAGUGGAGCGUUAAGUAAUGUUGGUGUUAUAGGAGGAAGGGGUGGUGGAGCUCUA
rnacentral:lncRNA from 1 species